CAGUCGCCGCGGGAAAACGAAGGGUGCAAGCGUUACUCGGAAUUACUGGCCGUAAAGCGUGCGUAGGUGGUGGUUUAAGUCCGUUGUGAAAGCCCUGGGCUCAACCUGGGAAUUGCAGUGGAUACUGGGUCACUAGAGUGUGGUAGAGGAUAGUGGAAUUUCCGGUGUAGCAGUGAAAUGCGUAGAGAUCGGAAGGAACAUCUGUGGCGAAGGCGACUAUCUGGGCCAACACUGACACUGAGGCACGAAAGCGUGGGGAGCAAACAGGAUUAGAUACCCGCGUAGUCCCUGUCUCUUAUAA
rnacentral:rRNA from 1 species